ACGUGAUCUGAGUUCAGACCGGAGCAAUCCAGGUCAGUUUCUAUCUAUACAAGAGCUUAUUCUAGUACGAAAGGACCGAAAAAGCAUGGCCAAUACUUAUUGCAAGCCAUCAUUAAUAAUUUAUGAUAAACACUCAAUUAAGAAUUAAUCUAUUUAUUCCCCCAAGAUAAGGGA
rnacentral:rRNA from 1 species